GGGGGGAUAACAGCUGGAAACAGCUGCUAAUACCGCAUAAGCGCACAGCGGCGCAUGACGCAGUGUGAAAAACUGAGGUGGUAUAAGAU
rnacentral:rRNA from 1 species